UACGAAGGGGGCUAGCGUUGUUCGGAAUCACUGGGCGUAAAGGGCGCGUAGGCGGCCGAUCAAGUCGGGGGUGAAAGCCUGUGGCUUAACCACAGAAUGGCCUUCGAUACUGUUUGGCUUGAGACCGGAAGAGGGAUGCAGAAUUCCAGGUGUAGCGGUGAAAUGCGUAGAUAUCUGGAGGAAUACCGGUGGCGAAGGCGGCAUCCUGGACCGGCAUUGACGCUGAUGAGCGAAAGCUAGGGGAGCAAACGGG
rnacentral:rRNA from 1 species